GCACUUUAUCUCUGAGACACUUAACUACAUGCUUACCUUAAAUGCAAAGCAGGUGUGUAAGUGCUUUGCUGGAUCAGGGCCAGCUCUGUACAAACCUGACCUCAGAGAGUUAGGAUCCCCUGCUCCUCCUGGUGUGAAGAUGACCUUGCUUACAUCAGAGUCAUGUGGUUGCACUUCAGAAACAGACAGCAUUCAGUUGAAAGGGAAGUUGAAUAUGCCUGAUUCAGGGCUGGCACUGGAAGAAGGUGUUCUUUGGCUUUUCCAAGAUCACCAAAAAGCAAUCUUAAUACUUGUAGUAGUGGCAGAUUGCUUGCACUUCACAGCUGAGGGCAGUCUGCACCCAAGAAGAUGAAGACUUUUCAGAAAGAAAAUCUUCCACAUUUGGAUCCAAGUUUACAGUUGCUUUUAAACCAUAGUCUGGCUUAACACGGGUGCUACACAAGUAAGAAUGCAGGUUUUAGUUUGUUGCAUAUAUAGCGGGGCAUGUACAUACAUGUAAAUUCUGCAAAAGAAGGUUCAUUGUAGAUAAUGCUAAGACUUCAUUAGUUCAGGCUGGUGGAUAAAAUAAUGAUAAUAUUUUAGCAUUUCCGUGUACUUUCAAUAAAAUUAAGAUAGGCU
rnacentral:lncRNA from 1 species